ensembl:lncRNA
GUUCAAAUCUGGGUGCCCCCUUUUUAAAAACAACUUAGAAAGCAUAGGAUAUGGAAAUUAUUCUACUAUUGAGUAUUUGUAUCAGGCAACAGGUGUUGCGAAAACUGUAAACCAAUAGCAACUGAGCAUUGUUUCUGGAUGUUGGAUUCAGUAGAAAAUUAUAGUUUAGGGUAAGAGUUUUCUCAGAAAAUGCCAGCUUGUCUAUAGAGGACACAGCAUUGCACUAUUAAAGGCAUUCACAUCACCCAGUAUGAUGAUGCAAGCGCUCUAUGUGAUAGGAGAUGCACUCUGAACAUCUGAAAAAAGUUAUCAGAUUUGGGGGUAUAGCUCAGUGGUAGAGCAUUUGACUGCAGAUCAAGAGGUCCCCAUUUCAAAUCUGGGUGCCCCCUCUUUAAAUACCUUCUUAGACCGCAUAGGAUAUGGAAAUUAUUCUACUAUUGAGUAUUUGUGUCAAGCAACAGGUGUUGCAAAAACUGUAAACCAAUAGCAACUGAGCAUUGUUUCUGGAUGUUGGAUUCAGUAGAAAAUUAUAGUUUAGUUUAAGAAUCUUCUCAGAAAAUGCCAGCUUGUCUAUAGAGGACACAGCAUUGCACUAUUAAAGGCAUUCACAUCACCCAGUAUGAUGAUGCAAACGCUCUAUGUUAUAGGAGAUGCACUCUGAACAUCUGAAAAAAGUUAUCAGAUUUGGGGGUAUAGCUC